CAAAUACUCCCUCUGUCCCAAAUUUCUUGUCUUAGAUUUGUCUAGAUACGGAUGUAUCUAAUACUAAAAUGUGACUUGAAACAUCCGUAUCUAGACAAAUCUAAGACAAGAAUUUUGGGAUGGAGGGAGUACUUU
rnacentral:pre_miRNA from 1 species